rnacentral:lncRNA from 1 species
UUUAAUUUAAUGAGAGCACCAAGUGGCUCAACCCAAGAAUUGGAAGAGAGCGGAAACAAAUGGAAGAGAGAAGAGAGAAGAGGAGAAGAUGAAUCAUCUUCGGAUGUUUAUUUGAGCAAGUGGCUCUCUCUCUCUCUCUCUAUUAUUCAAAUCUUGCAAGUUUCUUCAUUAGCUUUUCUUUUUCCCCUUCUUUCUCCUUAAAAAAAUGGAAUUAAGCUUUGAAAUUGCUUACUUUUUAUUAUUUUAUUGGCUUUGGGGCUGAAAAUUAGUUAUUCAUUUUUAUAGAAAGGGAUGGUGCCCGAAUGAAGGUGAGGCCGCUAUUCCUCCACGCCGAUACAUAUUUGUUUGUUGUUGUUUUGGGCACAUGAAAUCAAUUUAGCAUCA